AACACGAAAGUGGACGUAUACGGUGUGACGCCUGCCCGGUGCUGGAAGGUUAAUUGAUGGGGUUAGCGGCAACGCGAAGCUCUUGAUCGAAGCCCCAGUAAACGGCGGCCGUAACUAUAACGGUCCUAAGGUAGCGAAAUUCCUUGUCGGGUAAGUUCCGACCUGCACGAAUGGCGUAAUGAUGGCCAGGCUGUCUCCACCCGAGACUCAGUGAAAUUGAACUCGCUGUGAAGAUGCAGUGUACCCGCGGCAAGACGGAAAGACCCCGUGAACCUUUACUAUAGCUUGACACUGAACCUUGAACCUUGAUGUGUAGGAUAGGUGGGAGGCUGUGAAGUGCGGACGCCAGUCUGCACGGAGCCAUCCUUGAAAUACCACCCUUGAAUGUUUGAUGUUCUAACGCAGGCCCGUUAUCCGGGUCGCGGACAGUGUCUGGUGGGUAGUUUGACUGGGGCGGUCUCCUCCCAAAGCGUAACGGAGGAGCACGAAGGUUAGCUAAUCACGGUCGGACAUCGUGAGGUUAGUGCAAUGGCAUAAGCUAGCUUGACUGCGAGAGUGACAGCUCGAGCAGGUACGAAAGUAGGUCAUAGUGAUCCGGUGGUUCUGAAUGGAAGGGCCAUCGCUCAACGGAUAAAAGGUACUCCGGGGAUAACAGGCUGAUACCGCCCAAGAGUUCAUAUCGACGGCGGUGUUUGGCACCUCGAUGUCGGCUCAUCACAUCCUGGGGCUGAAGUAGGUCCCAAGGGUACGGCUGUUCGCCGUUUAAAGUGGUACGCGAGCUGGGUUUAGAACGUCGUGAGACAGUUCGGUCCCUAUCUGCCGUGGGCGUUGGAAGAUUGAAAGGGGCUGCUCCUAGUACGAGAGGACCGGAGUGGACGCACCACUGGUGUUCGGGUUGUCAUGCCAAUGGCACUGCCCGGUAGCUAAGUGCGGAAGAGAUAACCGCUGAAAGCAUCUAAGCGGGAAACUUGCCUUGAGAUGAGUCUUCCCUUGUCCCUUGAGGAUACUGAAGGAACGUUCAAGACGAGGACGUGGAUAGGCUGGGUGUGUAAGCGUAGCGAUACGUUGAGCUAACCAGUACUAAUGAACCGUGAGGCUUAACCU
rnacentral:rRNA from 1 species